rnacentral:misc_RNA from 1 species
UGGUGACCGCCCCAGACCCAG